GAUGGUGAGAGAGAGAGAAAGACUGAGAGGGAAGGAACAAGGGAUAAGGAGAGGUGCAGAUCUCUAAGCGAGAUGCAUGGCACAACAUCCUACAACAUCUGACUUCUCUGUCAGGCAUGGGAGCGUUCACAGAAAAGCAGAUAAAGGAAGACAGCCAAACUCAUCCUUUCAGAUAAGCAUGUACUUUAUUACUCGUCCUGGCAUGGCUCUACUCAAACUGGGAAAUAUAUGGGCUACCAGGUCACUCACUCUUAUGGCAGCAACAAGAGCAGCCAGAGUUUGAAACUACGGAGGAUGGAGCCCCUGUUCCUUUGUCCCACAUGAACAUUGUGAAAAAGAGAGGGUAAAUAUAUGCCACACUGUGCACCGGCCUGACUACCUCGUUCCCUCUGGAAACCUGUGACCUUGUUGUGAUUACUGCAUACUGCUGUCUACCUGCCUGGUCUCCUGGAGCUAUACUGUGGAAUACAAGGGGCCAUGGACUCUGUAGGAGUCGGUGCAACUUUUGUUAUAUAGUGAGGAGGGAAUGCCAUUCCUUACCUGUCACACUGAGGGAGGUGAAUUUCUUCUUGUGGUUCACAAAAUCUUGGAAUAAACAAUGAUAAGAGAGGAGUUUUGCAAGGAUGGGGCAUGGUGCUGUCCCUGAUCGUUUCUGUAAGAUCUGCUCGGCCAACACAAAGGACAAAAGGCUAAAAACAAGCCUGAAUACAACACAGCUUUCAUGUCAGGACCACGUGGAUAUUACAAUGCACAAACCCUUCCCACGCUCUGAAAAGGAAGAGCAAAGUGUUUCCAUCUCCCACAUCCACCCACAUAAAUAUGAGGAUGCAAGGGAAAGAGGUAUGAGCUGGUUAGAUGGUGUUUUAUCAACCCUACAGAGAGGUGUUUGAGGAAACCGAGGUGUCCUCACUUGUCCAGUCUGUGCCAUGCUGGGGCUGAGGACAGCCUUAGCUGAUGCAUUUGUUAAAUAUUAGCUUAUAAAAAA